rnacentral:rRNA from 1 species
GACAGAGGCCUCGAGCGUUAGGCGGAAUCACUGGGCUUAAAGCGUGUGUAGGCGGAUCGUUAAGUACCUUGUGAAAUCCCACGGCUCAACCGUGGAACGGCUGGGUAUACUGGCGGUCUUGGGCCAUUCAGGGGCGACUGGAACAAGCGGUGGAGCGGUGAAAUGCGUAGAUAUCAUUUGGAACGCCAAUGGUGAAAACAGGUAGCUGGGGCUGUGCUGACACUGAGACACGAAAGCCAGGGGAGCAAACGGG